GCAAAAUAAAAUAUUAAUGACAUUUAAUAAUCAAUUUUUUUUACCAUGACUCAGAAGGAAUCCAUGUAACAUGUGUCAAUUGAGACUGUGCUUUAUCAGCAAGACCUGACAACCAUGCCAUUUUCAUAUAAAAAUAAAAAUAAAUCCUUGUUAUAAUUUUGAUGACGUUUAACACUUCACAAAAUUCAUGUUCUCAUCUCUAAUAACUUAACCUAAAAUAACAGAAUAUAUCUAUCUAUCUAUAUCUAUAUAUAUCAAAAUUAUUUAAAAAUUUCCUUUUAUCUUAAAUUUAAUUAUUAAGAAAUAUGAUAAUGAUUUAAUAAAUAUUAAUUAUUAAUAAAUUUUUGUAAAUAAAUCAUGUAAUUUAUUUAUACAUUAUCAUGA